rnacentral:rRNA from 1 species
UUCUCUCUGGUAGGGUGACCUGCGGAAGGAUCAUUACAGAAUGAAAAGUGCUUAACUGCAUUUUUUCUUACACAUGUGUUUUUCUUUUUUUGAAAACUUUGCUUUGGUAGGCCUUCUAUAUGGGGCCUGCCAGAGAUUAAACUCAACCAAAUUUUAUUUAAUGUCAACCGAUUAUUUAAUAGUCAAAACUUUCAACAACGGAUCUCUUGGUUCUCGCAUCGAUGAAGAACGCAGCGAAAUGCGAUAAGUAAUAUGAAUUGCAGAUAUUCGUGAAUCAUCGAAUCUUUGAACGCACAUUGCGCCCUUUGGUAUUCCAAAGGGCAUGCCUGUUUGAGCGUCAUUUCUCCCUCAAACCCUCGGGUUUGGUGUUGAGCGAUACGCUGGGUUUGCUUGAAAGAAAGGCGGAGUAUAAACUAAUGGAUAGGUUUUUUCCACUCAUUGGUACAAACUCCAAAACUUCUUCCAAAUUCGACCUCAAAUCAGGUAGGACUACCCGCUGAACUUAAGCAUAUCAAAAGCCCGAAGAAAAAA